UACAGAGGGUGCAAGCGUUGCUCGGAAUUAUUGGGCGUAAAGCGCGUGUAGGCGGCUUUGCAAGUCUGGUGUGAAAUCCCUCGGCUUAACCGAGGAAGUGCGCCAGAAACUGCAGAGCUUGAGUACCGGAGAGGAUGGUGGAAUUCCCCAAGUAGAGGUGAAAUUCGUAGAUAUGGGGAGGAACACCGGUGGCGAAGGCGACCAUCUGGACGGAUACUGACGCUGAGACGCGAAAGCGUGGGGAGCAAACAGG
rnacentral:rRNA from 1 species